rnacentral:misc_RNA from 1 species
GUGAAUCAUCGAAUUUUUGAACGCAUAUUGCACUCUCUGGUAUUCCGAAGAGUAUGCCUGUUUGAGGGUCAGUUAAAUAAAAAUCGGGGGUGUUGCCUCCUUUUGGGGUGACGCUUCGGGAUUGGGUCGGCUUUACCUUUCGUUUAGUGAACUUAAAAUUUUUAAGCGAUAUCUGAACGUAUUUUAAUUGAUUUGGUACAUCUUUUAGUUUCGGAUUUUUAUUAGAGGUGAUCAUCAUCAUGA